rnacentral:lncRNA from 1 species
CUGGGCUGGGCACUGUAACUGAACAAUUAUAAAAUGGUCCUGAGAUUGAAGUUACAAUUCAUUCCCUAAUGAGGAUAUUCAAAUUCUUUGAGCUGCAGGACUGACCAUAAAAUUGUGCCUUUUUGUAAGGGGCCUAUGUAAGUGAUGUUACUUAGAGCAUGACUCUAGUGAAAGAUAGACAAUGUGGAAGUUCCAUGAUCAUUAGUUCUCAAAAAUUUUAAAAAAGCCAAAACCAAACAAACAAAAAAACCACAACAAACUCAAAAGUGAAAGUACCUAAAGCAUACAUGCGAUGAAGCCUCCUGGAGCCUGUCACUAGAGCUGUAAUUCAUCCUUCCUACCAUCCUUGCUCUUGGAAUACAAGAGAAAGCAAUCCCUGAAGUCUCUUUCACAAACUUUUCUGCAAAGUCCAUGUCCUUUGCACUGGCACAGUGACACUUUUGGACUCUCUCAGGUGACAGGUCAGAUCUCCAGCUCUGGCUGGGCUCUGUUACACCCCAGCACCAGAGCACCACACCCAGGGUGGGUCUACUUUGCCACAGGGACAGAAGAAGCCUGAGGUGGAGGCAAAACUAUGGGAGCAGCAUCCAAGGAGGGCUGAGAGAAAAACAUUUUUCUUCCUGAAAUUGUCAAAAUCAAGUGGAUUCUGGAGAACCAGAUUUGCUGCUCCUGCUGCAAUCAGAGAAACAAAAGAAUUCUACACUAAAUUGGACAGAAAGCAAGGGCUUUAGUUCACUGAACCAGGAAGAGCAAUUUUAUUUAACUGUAUGAGCAGUCUGGUGAAAAAGGUAAGUGAAACAUGGCCCAUCCUGAUCUUUA